AGCUCUCUCUGACUGGUACACAGGACUACACAGGACUCAGUCUCAAAAUGAACCAGUUUAUGAGGAAAUUUAUCAGAGACACAAUCUAUGUACUCAGAGAGGGAGUCUCAUCACUCAAGACGCUGAUGAGCUUCUCUCAGAGAGGCUGAAUGAGAUCACUCCAGGAAUCUAUGAGGAUAUCUUCACUGGUGGACCGAUACAAGAUUGUGAAACAGUGGACACACCAGAGAAUUAUGAUGAUGUCAUCAUUAAUGGACAGUGCUCACAAUGUGCAAAAGAGGGAGAUCAGGAGGAGUAUGAUGAUGUGUGGAGUAUCACUGAAGAUGUGAG